UAGGGAAUCUUCCACAAUGGACGCAAGUCUGAUGGGGCAACGCCGCGUGAGUGAAGAAGGUCUUCGGAUCGUAAAACUCUGUUGUUAGAGAAGAACACGAGUGAGAGUAACUGUUCAUUCGAUGACGGUAUCUAACCAGCAAGUCACGGCUAACUACGUGCCAG
rnacentral:rRNA from 1 species